GUGUACAUGAGUUUGAGCUAAUAUAGUCCUGUUGGCUGUUUACCUUGAAGGAAGUCCUUUCUUGUAAGGGGAAAAAAGUUGUAUCAUGAAUGCAUUGUUGAAGAAAGCUUUCUGUUAACCUGAUAAGAUCAUUAGAUGGAACUGAGUUUAUUCUUGCGUUUAUGCAAUCCAUUUGUUUACUUAAUGCGAGGGUCUGUCAAAAAGUGUACUGCAUCCAUGUUCCUUUAUGAUUUGGUCAUACUGUGAGUUAAUAAUUUAAUCUUGCUAUUUUUUAAGUUUAUGGCACAAUUUUGUCAAUGGUUUAAAAUAUAAUUAGGAUAUGCUUCUUACAAAUUUGAAACAUUUUUAUUCAGAUCACAUGGCAGUGGCUUCCUU
rnacentral:misc_RNA from 1 species